GGAAGGGUAACCAAGUGGUCAUACGGUACCGCUUUCGAAAAGCGGCGUGGCAGCAAUGUCACCGUGGGUUCGAAUCCCACCCCUUCCG
rnacentral:tRNA from 1 species